rnacentral:lncRNA from 1 species
CACAAUUUGGGGGGGAAGUGAUUUGGGGGGGGCGUCCCCAAACACUUUGUGUAACGUCUGGGGAGGGCUGUAACCCCUACGGUGUUUAUGGGGGGGGGCCAUGACCCUCUGCCCCCCCCCCAGUUAUGCUGUGUCCCCCCCCCCAGGGUGGCGAAGCAGAGCCGGGGGGCCCCCCACUGGCUGCGGAGGGACCUGCGGGUGCGCUGCGUGGACAAAGCCUUCCAGGGGGGGCGCUUCUACAACUGCAAGAUGGUGGUGGAGGACCUGCUCUCCCCCGACACCUGCGUUUGCCGGACGGACGAGGGGCGCCUGGUGGACGGCCUGCAGGAGGCCAUGCUGGAGACCGUCAUUCCCCGGGGCGACGCCGACCGCGUCAUGGUGGUGCUGGGCGAGCAUGCUGGCAAGGUGGGCCAGAUUCUGGAGCGGGACCCAUCGAGGAGCCGGGCGCUGGUGCAGCUGCAGCGCGAGGCGGGCUCGAGGGUGCUGGCGCUGGAUUACGACGCCAUCUGCCAUUUUCUGGGGGGGCACGAAGACGAUUGAGACCCCCCCCCCCCCCGGGAAAAACAAGGGCACCCACCAGCUUCCAACAUGGCCGCCUCAGCUUCAGGGGGAAUAAACAGCGCCAAAACAAGUUGCUGAUGUCCUCGGCUUUGCGGGGACGGCCCCGUUUGGGAACCCAGGCGUCUUGGUGAGGCCCCCCCCGGCAAAAAAAACCUCGCUGGAGCCCCCCCGCGCCGGCUGCAGGCAUAGCUGCGCGUUUGCCAGCUUCCAAGAUGGCGGAGAGGGCGGCUGCUGGAGCUGCCAGCUUCCAACAUGGCGCGUUGCUAGGGGC